CGAUGGAGGGGAUAACUACUGGAAACGGUAGCUAAUACCGCAUAACGUCGCAAGACCAAAGAGGGGGACCUUCGGGCCUCUUGCCAUCGGAUGUGCCCAGAUGGGAUUAGCUAGUAGGUGGGGUAACGGCUCACCUAGGCGACGAUCCCUAGCUGGUCUGAGAGGAUGACCAGCCACACUGGAACUGAGACACGGUCCAG
rnacentral:rRNA from 1 species